rnacentral:rRNA from 1 species
UACGUAGGUGGCGAGCGUUGUCCGGAUUUACUGGGCGUAAAGAGCGCGCAGGCGGUCGUUCAAGUCGCGUGUGAAAGCCCCCCGGCUCAACUGGGGAGGGUCACGCGAUACUGAUCGACUGGAAGGCAGGAGAGGGUAGUGGAAUUCCCGGUGUAGUGGUGAAAUGCGUAGAUAUCGGGAGGAACACCAGUGGCGAAGGCGACUACCUGGCCUGUUCUUGACGCUGAGGCGCGAAAGCUAGGGGAGCAAACGGG